rnacentral:rRNA from 1 species
CACGUAGGGGGCGAGCGUUGUCCGGAUUUAUGGGCGUAAAGAGCUCGUAGGUGGCUUAGUAAGUCGGGUGUGAAACCUCCGAGCUCAACCUGGAGACGCCACCCGAUACUGCUAUAGCUUGAGUCCGGUAGGGGAGCGUGGAAUUCCUGGUGUAGCGGUGAAAUGCGCAGAUAUCAGGAGGAACACCAGCGGCGAAGGCGGCGCCUCUGGGCCGGUACUGACACUGAGACACGGAAAGCGUGGGUAGCAAACAGG